GCGGGCGUGGUGGAAUUGGUAGACGCGCUGGAUUCAAAAUCCAGUUCCGAAAGGAGUGCCGGUUCGACCCCGGCCGCCCGCACCA
rnacentral:tRNA from 2 species